UCAACUGAAUGGCCAAAGAAUCUGUGGCAUAUUCGUUUUAAACACCCCACUUUCUCAAUCAAAUACCACAUAUUCACAUAAACCUCCAUCGCACCACCUCCAUUCCUGUUCGAGCAGUUUCCUACAUUGAAGAAUCCGGUGAAUCGUCACCGCAACACACCAUCCGACUACCCUCGCUAGUCAUCUUUCCGUUGUACCAUCGGUUGGAGGUUGUCGACGUUUCAACCUUUGUUGCUGAUCACUUUGAUUAUCUUUGUUUGAUCACUCGGAAGCUCAAAAUCCUCGGUUUCGCUCCGAACAGUUUCGCUACUAAGCCACCGUACACCCUCUUAGUCGAUAAGUCGGGGCCGCUGUGUUACUCGUCUCUGCGUGAUCAGACGUCGGAAACGCCGCGACGCAUUCCUUCGACUCCGCUCCUCGACCCAAGGCCUUCGUGGUAAUUGGAAGCACCAUUAAGUUUCGUGCUAUUAUCGUUUAAGCUAAGGUACGGAUUCUGUGGUCUUUUCUCUUAGCGUUUUAUAUCGUUAUUUUAGUGUCUAGUUCAUUGAACCGUUAUCGUUGUUUCCUCAAGUAAUGAAUUGAAUUGUUCCCUUUGAUUCACAUGCGAUAGAUUAAUUCCUUAAGCUCAUUAUCGUAUGUUCCUAUUAAUCAUUGAUCAUUGCCAUGGAUGUGCCUUAUUGUACUAGUUGACUUAAGGGUACCAUUUUAUUGACCUCAAUACCCGAGCACAUCCACCUAUGGGGACAUAGGGCGUCAUCAUCGGCACCGAUGACGUGCACCAUCCGUGACGGUGCGAUUAGUUCACGGCGUCUCUAUAUUAGUAUUUAUUGUUUAUGGAUUAUUGAGAGGCGUAUGGAUCGAUCCUAUGAUAUUAUUGUUACUUAUUGGUAUUGGGAUAGGUGUGUGUGCCCACAUCCCCUUUACAUAUCGGUACAUUGGAACUGCAGCUGAUGUACACAUUGCUUAUUGUUUAUUGUCAUUGGCUCACAUGGGUAUUUCCACAUAGAUUCUUAUUGUAUUGACUGACCAUUGAUUAAUGUUGACUGUAUCGUUACAUUGUUAUUGUCAUAGUAUCGUUUCACCUUUGAUCGAAUACCGUAUUAAUCGUUACCGUUAUUGCUAUUGUUUUUCCGUUACUGGGCAAUUUUUGGCUCAGCCGUGUUUCUUUUGUUGUUUUCUCUUGGUUCUUAAACAUGUACUCAGGGGAACAUGGGGAAAAGUGCGAAGAGAGAAAAUUAAAUGGCUAGAGUUGGAAAUAAGGAGUCUAAAUAAAUUGCUAUUUAAAUUUUAGACAUUUUUAUUUUCGUUAAAACCGUUGUGUGGUUUUAGAUUUUUAAACCUUUGGAGUUAAUGUUUUAUUUGAGUUACGUUUUUUUAUGUCUCUGAUUACUGUAUUGGGUGACACGUCAGC